rnacentral:lncRNA from 1 species
AAAAAAUAAAACUGAAAACAACAGUACAAGGUCCUAUCUAUUCUAUUUGUCUUGAUCCUCUUGCUUCCGAUCUUCCUCUUGGAUCUUCAGUUAUUGCCUCACCUUCUUCUUGUGGAUAUCUUGAUUUCAAAAUUUUGAUCUUGAAAUUAAGAUUUGAGACUUGAACUUGAAGCUUGGAUUUAGUCAUUGAUACUCUACCAAAGAACAGUUCAUAGAAUACUUUGGAUGCUUGUUCUCCUGAUCAGAAGCUAAAAAGAUGUCUCUUGAGAUAUUGGGCCGCUAUGGAUGCAAAGCUGACUCUAACUAUCUUCAAACUGACCAUUCUUCUAUAUUUUAACCGGAGAUGAAAUUCCGUUCUUGGAUAGACCUGUGCUUUGCAGAAAACCUGCAAGCCAUCAAAGAAGACGAAACAAACAAACAAAAUUUUCUGCCCCAGUUUAUACUAGGAAAAUUUUGUGAGUUAUUAGAAAAACUAUAAUCUAGUUUAAAAAUAAAUAAACGAAUGGAUAGAAAUUUAGGCUAGGAGUGCNNNNN